rnacentral:rRNA from 1 species
CGCCAGACUCCUACGGGAGGCAGCAGUGGGGAAUAUUGCACAAUGGGGGAAACCCUGAUGCAGCGACGCCGCGUGAGCGAUGAGGUAUUUCGGUAUGUAAAGCUCUAUCAGCAGGGAAGAAAAUGACGGUACCUGACUAAGAAGCCCCGGCUAACUACGUGCCAGCAGCCGCGGUAAUACGUAGGGGGCAAGCGUUAUCCGGAUUUACUGGGUGUAAAGGGAGCGUAGACGGUUAUGCAAGUCUGAAGUGAAAGCCCAAGGCUCAACCAUGGGACUGCUUUGGAAACUGUAAAACUGGAGUGCAGGAGAGGUAAGCGGAAUUCCUAGUGUAGCGGUGAAAUGCGUAGAUAUUAGGAGGAACACCAGUGGCGAAGGCGGCUUACUGGACUGUAACUGACGUUGAGGCUCGAAGGCGUGGGGAGCAAACAGGAUUAGAUACCCCAGUA